GACGGAAGGUGCAAGCGUUGCUCGGAAUCACUGGGCGUAAAGGGCGUGUAGGCGGUAUGCUAAGUCUGGCGUGAAAGCUCUCGGCUAAACCGGGAGAGGUCGUUGGAUACUGGCAAACUAGAGGAUGGUAGAGGCGUGUGGAAUUCCGGGUGUAGUGGUGAAAUGCGUAGAGAUCCGGAGGAACACCAGUGGCGAAGGCGACACGCUGGGCCAUACCUGACGCUAAAGCGCGACAGCAUGGGGAGCAAACGGG
rnacentral:rRNA from 1 species